rnacentral:rRNA from 1 species
GUGGGGAAUAUUGGGCAAUGGGCGAAAGCCUGACCCAGCAACGCCGCGUGAAGGAAGAAGGUUUUCGGAUUGUAAACUUCUGUCCUCAGGGAAGAAGAAAGUGACGGUACCUGAGGAGGAAGCCCCGGCUAACUACGUGCCAGCAGCCGCGGUAAUACGUAGGGGGCGAGCGUUGUCCGGAAUGACUGGGCGUAAAGGGCGCGUAGACGGCUGUCUAAGUCUGGAGUGGAAGUCCUGCUUUCAAGGUGGGAAUUGCUUUGGAGACUGGAUGGCUUGAGUGCGGAAGAGGUAAGUGGAAUUCCCAGUGUAGCGGUGAAAUGCGUAGAGAUUGGGAGGAACACCAGUGGCGAAGGCGACUUACUGGGCCGUAACUGACGUUGAUGCGCGAAAGCGUGGGGAGCGAACAGGAUUAGAUACCCGGGUAGUCC